UAUAACAGUCUCCUGAAGGCAGGAGUAGAGAUAGAAGCAGGGGGAGGGGGAGUGAGAGAUUCUCAAGCGGACUCUGCACUGAGCAUGGAACCAGAAGGGAAGCAGAUGAAGGCACCCUCCUUCCAGAGACACCUUAUCUAUGAACGACACCCUUACAAAACUCUGGAAUGUGUUGCUAACAAAGGGAAGCUGUUCCAGAAGAAGGUUCUCAGUGUUAUCUUUUGUUGUUGAAUAUAGGAAAGACUGUGGCAGUUCUGCUUCUACAGUAAUGGUGAAGGCAUGCCAUCUCAUAGUCCAGCUUUUCACUGAAGAUGUGAGUGACUUGAAAGGCCUAAUUAUUUAUUAUAUGUUAAAUCAGGUACUGCUUUUAAUAAUAUUCCCGAAUAAAUAUUUUACUUUUUAACAA